GCCUGUUGCACAAAAGUAGAAUUAAGACAUCCGGGAUAAAUGACUCAGCUGAGCUCAAUGAAGCCAAAACAUGUGCGUCCAGGCUUAAUUGGUUGCACAAAGACCAAGCCAGGAUGAGCAGACACGGAUUCAUUAAACCAGGUGAAACCAAUCCUGGAUAGGUGCGCGCUCACGGCUCACUCAAAUAGACCCCGCCACAGAUCACAGAUUAACUGAUUUACCAUGGCAACUAGAGCCGCGUACUUUUCCCCGUCGGAAGCACAAAUCCUCAUGGAGGCAUACGAGGUAAAAGAUAUAAUUAAGAAGAAAGGCAACACCGCCACAGUGAUAAAGCAAAGAGAAAAAGCGUGGCAAAGUAUUGCAGACCGCCUGAAUGCGUAAGUAGUGCACAAUUACACACUCACCGCUCCGCUGAAACAUCACAAUUACAAUUCAAAUAUUUAAUUCACAUCUCCAAAAAUGCAGUUGUACUGUAAUUAUGAAACGGUUAAUUUUUUAAUUGAAAUGCACUGCAGAUGAGUGAAAUUGUGUAAAGUAACUCCAUCACACUGUAUAAAGCUAUGAUACAUUUUUUGAUAUUUUUACUGAAAACAAGACAAAAAUACCAAGUAAUUUUUUGCAGUGUGACUCCAUUAAAUGUGUGUGUGUGUGUGUGUGUGUGUGUGUGUAGAUUAAACAUGAACGGGCCAAAACGGACAUGGCAGCAGGUCAAAAUCAAAUACAAGAACAUUCUGCAGAAUGGUAUGGUCCCUGACUAAUAUUUAACAAAGCACAAGCAUAUAUUGUACCCAGAAGGUGCCUGCUCACACAUUGUCUGUACUGUUUUAGCAGUGAGAAAGAAUACCCACAGACAAGGCACGGGUGGUGGGUCACCAAAGGCUGACCUUACCCCAGCAGAGGACAUGGCCUUGGAGCUAAAUAAAGGCAGGCCCGUCUUAAGAGGGGAUCCCUGGGGGGAAAGAGACGAGCAUAGGUUCCUCCCAAGAUGCCACCCGCUUCAUUCAAGUGCCUGGCAGCACUGUGUUCCUGUUAGAGCCACCAGCACAAGCACCAGACGAUGCUGAUCCAGGUGAAGGCCCCAGUGCAGCAGCAACAGCACAUGAUGGAGACGAUGAUGAGGAGGAGACCAUCUCUCUGGAUUCCAGAAGGCAUGAGGACCCAGAUGCUAUACAGUGGGAAAACCAGCCUGGCAACAUAAGCUCACAAGCUAUCAGAAAGUUGUAUGGCAACCACCUCCGGCGCCAAAUAGAACUGGCAGACAUAGACAUUCAGUACAAGAAGAAAAAGAUGGAAAAUCUUGCACUGGAGUCCGAAAUAAAAAAGAGGACAAUUAGGAAACUGGACCUUGAAAUAAAAAAACUUGAGAGGGAGCUCCAAGAAGAUGACACAGCUCAAAAUAAAAAUUAGCAAUCAGUACAACCAAGUCAUCGUUAUAAGGCAUCGCCCUCUUUUGCCCACCCCCCCAGCACCAGGUGUGGCCACUAGCCUAUAUGAAGGUCCAAAAUUGUGUGUUCCUUUCUGCUCUGACAAUGGCAUGCCCAUUCGUGCGAGAUGUGGUGGAUGAAGAAGCACUUGUGCUGAGGAGAGCCUUCAGGCGAGAAAGGGUCUUCAGGGACCGGUUGGACCCACUGGCCUUCCCUGAUGACCAUCUAUAUGAAAGAUACAGGUUUUCUGCAGAUGGCAUCAGGUAUCUAUGCAGACUACUGGGUCCCAGGAUUAAGCACCGCACUGCACGGAGCCAUGCACUGAGUGUGGAGCAAAUGGUUUGUGUGGCCUUGCGCUUUUUUGCUAGUGGAGCCUUCCUGUACUCAGUGGGGGAUGCAGAACAGCUGAACAAGGCCACAAUUUGCCGCACAAUAAGGAGUGUGUGUCUGGCUAUCAAAGCAUUAGCAGAUGUCUUCAUCUCCUUCCCUGGCCACAGAAGACUCUGUGACAUCAAAGAGGAGUUCUAUAGGAUUGCAGAUGGUCUGCAAUGCUGACUGUGUGAUCAGCAAUGUUGUGGCAAAAUGGCCUGGCUCAGUCCAUGACUCCAGAAUCUUUCGGGCCUCUGAAAUCUAUCAGUGCCUAUCACAAGGUGAAUUCUCUGGUGUGUUGCUGGGAGACAGGGGGUAUGGCUGCCAGCCUUUUCUCCUGACACCUUUCACAGACCCCCAGGAAGCACAGCAGGCCUACAACCAUGCCCAUGCCAGGACCAGGGCCAGAGUUGAAAUGACCUUUGGCCUCCUGAAGGCACGCUUUCACUGCCUUCACAAAUUAAGGGUCAGCCCUGUUAGGGCAUGUGAUAUUACUGUGGCUUGUGCUGUCCUCCACAAUGUGGCCUGCCUGAGGAAUGAGAGGGCCCCCAGAGUGCCACCAGCCAUGGACUGGGACAAUCCGGCAAUCUUCCCU